rnacentral:rRNA from 1 species
GAUGAACGCUGGCGGCGUGCCUAAUACAUGCAAGUCGAGCGAACAGACGAGGAGCUUGCUCCUCUGACGUUAGCGGCGGACGGGUGAGUAACACGUGGAUAACCUACCUAUAAGACUGGGAUAACUUCGGGAAACCGGAGCUAAUACCGGAUAAUAUAUUUAACCGCAUGGUUCAAUAGUGAAAGACGGUUUUGCUGUCACUUAUAGAUGGAUCCGCGCCGCAUUAGCUAGUUGGUAAGGUAACGGCUUACCAAGGCAACGAUGCGGAGCCGACCUGAGAGGGUGAUCGGCCACACUGGAACUGAGACACGGUCCAGACUCCUACGGGAGGCAGCAGUAGGGAAUCUUCCGCAAUGGGCGAAAGCUUGACGGAGCAACGCCGCGUGAGUGAUGAAGGUCUUCGGAUCGUAAAACUCUGUUAUUAGGGAAGAACAAAUGUGUAAGUAACUAUGCACGUCUUGACGGUACCUAAUCAGAAAGCCACGGCUAACUACGUG